rnacentral:rRNA from 1 species
UGAUAUCAAGCAAAACUGAAAAAAAGCGGUCUCAGUUCGGAUUGAAGGCUGAAAUUCGCCUUCAUGAAGCUGGAAUUGCUAGUAAUGGCAGGUCAGCAUACUGCCGUGAAUACGUUCCCGGGCCUUGUACACACCGCCCGUCACACCAUGAGAGUUGGGAAUACCCGAAGCCUGUGAGCUAACAUAUGAGGCAGCAGUCGAAGGUAGAAUCAAUGAUUGGGGUGAAGUCGUAACAAGGUAUC